rnacentral:misc_RNA from 1 species
UCCGGCUUAUCACCGGCGGUUUCUUUAGAGUGCCCAACUAAAUGAUGGCAACUAAAGACGAGGGUUGCGCUCGUUGCGGGACUUAACCCAACAUCUCACGACGCGAGCUGACGACAGCCAUGCACCACCUGUGAUCGAGUCCCGAAGGAGGGCCGUAUUUCUACGGCUUUCCCGACCAUGUCAAGCCUUGGUAAGGUUCUUCGCGUCGCGUCGAAUUAAACCACAUGCUCCGCUGUUUGUGCGGGCCCCCGUCAAUUCCUUUGAGUUUUAGCCUUGCGGCCGUACUCCCCAGGCGGGGCACUUAAUGCGUUAGCUCCGGCACGGGAGGAGUCGACACCUCCCACACCUAGUGCCCAUCGUUUACGGCGUGGACUAC